rnacentral:rRNA from 1 species
CCUACGGGGGGCAGCAGUGAGGAAUAUUGGUCAAUGGACGAGCGUCUGAACCAGCCAAGUAGCGUGAAGGAUGACUGCCCUAUGGGUUGUAAACUUCUUUUAUAUGGGAAUAAAAUGUUCCACGUGUGGGCUUUUGUAUGUACCAUAUGAAUAAGGAUCGGCUAACUCCGUUCCAGCAGCCGCGGUAAUACGGAGGAUCCGAGCGUUAUCCGGAUUUAUUGGGUUUAAAGGGAGCGUAGAUGGGGUGUUAAGUCAGUUGUGAAAGUUUGCGGCUCAACCGUAAAAUUGCAAUUGAUACUGGCAGUCUUGAGUACAGUUGAGGUAAGCGGAAUUCGUGGUGUAGCGGUGAAAUGCUUAGAUAUCACGAAGAACCCCGAUUGCGAAGGCAGCUUACUAAACUGUGACUGACAUUGAUGCUCGAAAGUGUGGGUAUCAAACAGGAUUAGAUACCCUUGUAGUC